CGUAGGGUGCGAGCGUUGUCCGGAAUUAUUGGGCGUAAAGAGCUUGUAGGCGGUUUGUCGCGUCUGCCGUGAAAAUCCGAGGCUCAACCUCGGACUUGCGGUGGGUACGGGCAGACUAGAGUGUGGUAGGGGAGACUGGAAUUCCUGGUGUAGCGGUGAAAUGCGCAGAUAUCAGGAGGAACACCGAUGGCGAAGGCAGGUCUCUGGGCCACUACUGACGCUGAGAAGCGAAAGCGUGGGGGAGCGAACAGGAUU
rnacentral:rRNA from 1 species